rnacentral:rRNA from 1 species
GACAGAGGGGGCAAGCGUUGUCCGGAGUUACUGGGCGUAAAGGGCGCGGAGGCGGUCUGCGGCGUCGGCGCUGAAAGCGCCCCGCUUAACGGGGCGAGGCGUGCCGAUACGCGGAGACUUGAGGCGAGCAGAGGGUGGUGGAAUUCCGGGUGGAGCGGUGAAAUGCGUAGAGAUCCGGAGGAACGCCAGUGGGGAAGCCGGCCACCUGGGCUCGUCCUGACGCUGCGGCGAGACAGCGUGGGGAGCAAACCGG